rnacentral:rRNA from 1 species
GACGAACGCUGGCGGCGUGCUUAACACAUGCAAGUCGAGCGGAAAGGCCACUUCGGUGGUACUCGAGCGGCGAACGGGUGAGUAACACGUGAGUAAUCUGCCCCUGGCUUUGGGAUAGCCACCGGAAACGGUGAUUAAUACCGGAUACGACCACUUCUCGCAUGGGAUGGUGGUGGAAAGUUUUUUCGGCCAGGGAUGUGCUCGCGGCCUAUCAGCUUGAUGGUGAGGUAAUGGCUCACCAUGGCUUCGACGGGUAGCCGGCCUGCGAGGGUGACCGGUCACACUGGGGCUGGGACACGGCCCAGACUCCUACGGGAGGCAGCAGUGGGGAAUAUUGGACAAUGGGCGGAAGCGUGAUCCAGCAACGCCGCGUGAGGGAUGACGGCCUUCGGGUUGUAAACCUCUUUCAGCAGGGACGAAGCGCAAGUGACGGUACCUGCAGAAGAAGCACCGGCCAACUACGUGCCAGCCGCCGCCGUAA